AAAAGGAACGCCCACAGAACUGGCAGGUCCAACCUGGCGCAUCCUGACCCACAGGAUCUGCGCCGGCGGAACCCCGCACAGUCGGGUUAUCGCCUG